rnacentral:rRNA from 1 species
UACGUAGGGGGCAAGCGUUGUCCGGAAUCAUUGGGCGUAAAGAGCGUGUAGGCGGCCCGGUAAGUCCGCUGUGAAAGUCCAGGGCUCAACCCUGGGAUGCCGGUGGAUACUGUCGGGCUCGAGUCCGGAAGAGGAGUGUGGAAUUCCUGGUGUAGCGGUGAAAUGCGCAGAUAUCAGGAGGAACACCAACGGCGAAAGCACUCUGCUGGGCCGACACUGACACUGAGAGACGAAAGCUAGGGGAGCGAAUGGG